GGAAAUGCUUAAAGAUCUUGUUAGUAGUGGGACUUCAGGCAUCUUAAGAGAAGACUGCUCAGCUCACAUACAUACAAGACCUAAGCAUCAAGCCAAGGCUGCAGGAUGGAGGACACCAAUCACGGGACCAUCUGCAAAAGCAAAACGGGGAGUGUCCGCUGGGGAAAUCUCUAAGAUGAAAGCCACUUUGUCACCUUCUUCCUUCCUGCUUGGGACGCACAUGUAAUGCUUGGCACUGCUCCCCCCAUCUUGUCACCAUGAGAUGACAGCCAAGAGGAGAAAAAGCCAAAACAGAGAGGAUGACAGUGAAGAAAGAGGAAAAGUGGUUAAACCUCACAUGACAUCAUGGAAACCUGAACAAAGGCACAGAACCACAGAUUUCCCAAUUCUUGCGAAGGAAGCAAUUCAUGUUCCUUCUGGGCGAAGCUGCUGCUGGUUGGGUAUUUAUCCUUCUAAAGCUGAAGCAUCCUGAGUAAUGCAGUGCAAAUCAGAAAUUGAAAUAAAUGAAGCACGUCUUGAGCAGUGUCAUGGCAAAGGAGUCUGGCUUGUAGAAUGUCUGUCUCUGGAAAUUUGGAGAGCUGGGAGCAGGAGAUGUGAUCGUGGUUCACAACUGCAGGUGAGGCUGGGGCAGCUCUCCCAGGCCUGAAGCAUAUGCAGGGUUUUCUCUCCUAAUAGCAGCAUCUUGACUUCCCUAUAUGCUUUUUGAAUUGGUUUUGCACAUUCUUCCCCCAAAUUCACAUUUUGACUGGUCAGGGAUAAACAAGUCAAUUCACAGAUUCAGGGAAGUUUUAGAGAAUGGAAGGGAAGGACACAUUUUCACUGGAAAUUAUCAAGCCAUUAUAUUUCCCAGAUGUUUACUGAAAACAAUGGCAUAAUUAUAGAUGCAAGAUCAGUUUUCGUUGUAUGUACUGUGUGUCCAAAAGAGACCAUAAAUUCAACAGUAGUGGAAGGGAACAUCCCAGGACACAGUAAAGCCAAAUCAACUGCACAGUCAUUUUCUCUACUAUCAAUGUGACUAGGUUGCAAUCCCAGAAAUGUUUUCAACUCCUGCAAUAUUUAUAGGGAUAUGGGAGCAGCUAUGUCCUUGUUUCUUUGAAAUCAAUAAGUAAAGAUCUGAGACGUUUAUACUACCUGAAGAAAUCGAGGUCUGUCACUAAAGUCAAUUCUUAGGGGUUUCCAUUCUCUCAUUUAGGGUAAAGUUCUAUGCUGUAGUAAAUGCGCCUCAAGAUACGUAAUGGUUAGAGCCCCAUAGAAGUUUAUUUUUCACUCAUUGAAAGUCAAAUCUGGUCAUUUUUGUUGAUGGGUGAGUAGAUCCACCAAGAACUAAUUCAAGAACCUAGGCUCUUUCCAUCCUGUGACUUCUCCAUCUUUAACAAGCAUCUUCUGAUUUGCAGCAACAAAGCGUGCAGGACUA
rnacentral:lncRNA from 1 species